UCUGGCUAGGCUGUGGCCUAGGCCAGCAGCUGUAGCUCAUAUUAAACCCCUAGCCUGGGAACUUCCAUAUGCCGCCAGUGCGGCCCUUAAAAAAAAAAAAAGGCAAGGAAAUUGUUCUACUUCAAGAUUUUGAGAAGAGUUUGUGCUGAAAAAGAAAAAUUCAUUAAGCAAACAAGAAGUUUAAUCAUUCUUGAAAUGUUCUCCUGUCAGACAAUAUUUUGACAGUGAUAUCCAAGAAUAUCAUCUUGGGGAAAACAGUAUUUCCUUUUCUCUUGAAAACUCUAGUCUAUUUAUUACCACAGAGUUUAUUCAACCUAGACCAAAAAUGUAAACGCUUAUCACCUGAUUAACAACCAAUGCAUUUAUUACUUUAGUGUUCUAAAGCUGAUUAAUAGGGAGAAAAAAAGGAUUCCCUGGUGGCUCAGUGGGUUAAGGAUCUGGCAUUGUCACUGCUGUGGGCUCUGGUUACCGUAGCAGUACAUGUUCAAUCCCUGGCCCAGGAACUUCUGUAUGCUGUGGGAACAGCCCCUUCCCCUCUCCCCCCCAAAAAAAAUAGAGAAAAAAAGUGUGUGGCAUGUUUCCCUGGAAAUUUUUGUUUUCAGCUAUAAUCAACAUAAUUAGCAAUACUUUGGGAUCUUUCAAACAGAUUAGACUCCGUCAUUAUAAAAUCCCAUUUCUUACUGGGCUGGAAUAUAUCACAUACUGAAUAUGUCUCCCCAGGAUAGACUGUGGGAAGGUCAGAGCCUGAAGUGUCUUGUUUAACCUUUGGAUAUCUUUGGAUGUGACUUGUUUUGCCAUGUCUCAGGCCUUCGGAUAUGAAAACAGCCUUGCAGAGCACAGGCAGCCGUUUCCUCAGCCUCCUGCAUGUGGUGAACUUGGAUUUUCCCAGUGGAGACAGAAGACUUAGGAACACAGGAUGGCCUGUUUCUGCUCCGUGAUGUUUGUUAAAGCAACAAAGAAAGCAGCAGGAAGAGUCAAAGGCGAAGAGCUCAACUGUCCAGUGUAGCAGCCACCCAUGUAGUUCUGUAAGUUUAAAUGAACUAAAAUUAGCUGAAGUUUAAAAUUCCACUUCCUCACUGACACUAGCUGUGUUACAGUCACUCAAUAGCCUCAUGUGGUAGUAAGUUACCAUAUGACCCCAAACGGAAGACUUCCAUGAUCACAGAAGGUUCUAUGGGUCUCUGUGAUCUGAAGGUCUGUCUAGUGGUGGAUGUUGGCUGUUAGCCUGAACUUCAGUUGAGGCUGGAAUUCUGUGUGGUUUCUCCAUGUGGUUUGGGCUUUCUGGCAACAUGGCAGCUUAGUUCCCAAGAUAAGUGCAGACAGAGAUGGAGAGAAGCCGGUGGAAGCCAUACUGUCUCUUAUAUGACAGUAUAAGAGACAACUUCCACCACAUUCUGUUAGAACAAUUACCAAGAUGUAUCUGGGUUCAAGGGGCGGGAACCUAGACUGCCACCACUCAGCGGAAGAAUAGCAGCAUCAUAUUGUAAGAAGGUCAAGUGAGAUGGCGUAUGUAUUGCUGUGGCAUCUUCAGAAACCUGAAAAUGAAAUCUGCCACAGAAAGGCUGUGUAACCUGCACAUUUCUUUACUAAUGAGAUUACUGAAGGAGGUGAUUAUUCAGUGGUCAUGAUGCAUAAUUGAAAACAUGCCUGCAUGCAUAGAUUUUUAAAGAUUACAAAAUACUACCUAGCCACAUGGGAAAAUAUGAGAUGAUGAAAAGAACACCAGACAGUAGAACACCUUGACUACAAAGAUGGAAAUACAUAUCUUCCCACUGAGAAUGUUUGAAAUAGAUUAAGAAGGCUUCGAAAGAGCGUUUUUAUAUCGAUAAAGGUGCUUAAGUUUGAAAUACAAAAAAAAAAAAAAAAAAAAAGAUUUUGCUUGCCAAGCA